rnacentral:rRNA from 1 species
UUUGAUCCUGGCUCAGGAUGAACGCUGGCGGUAUGCCUUAUACAUGCAAGUCGUACGAGAGUUUUUAACUCUAGUGGCGGACGGGUGAGUAACACGUAAGAAUUUGCCUUUAGGAGGGGGACAACAACUGGAAACGGUUGCUAAUACCCCAUAUGCUUUCGAGUGAAAUGGAUUUCCGCCUAAAGAGAAGCUUGCGGCUGAUUAGCUUGUUGGUAGGGUAAUGGCCUACCAAGGCGACGAUCAGUAUCUGGUUUGAGAGGACGAUCAGACACACUGGAACUGAGACACGGGCCAGACUCCUACGGGAGGCAGCAGUAGGGAAUUUUCCGCAAUGGGCGAAAGCCUGACGGAGCAGUACCGCGUGAGGGAUGACUGCCUAUGGGUUGUAAACCUCUUUUUUCAGGGAGGAAUAAAUGACGUGUACCUGAAGAAUAAGCAUCGGCUAACUCCGUGCCAGCAGCCGCGGUAAGACGGAGGAUGCAAGUGUUAUCCGGAAUCACUGGGCGUAAAGAGUCUGUAGGUGGCUCGACAAGUCAACUGUUAAAUCUUGAAGCUCAACUCA